GAUGAACGCUGGCGGCGUGCCUAAUACAUGCAAGUCGAGCGAACAGAUGAGGAGCUUGCUCCUCUGACGUUAGCGGCGGACGGGUGAGUAACACGUGGAUAACCUACCUAUAAGACUGGGAUAACUUCGGGAAACCGGAUCUAAUACCGGAUAAUCUAUUGAACCGCAUGGUUCAAUAGUGAAAGACGGUUUUGCUGGCUCUUAUAGAUGGAUCCGCGCCGCAUUAGCUAGUUGGUAGGGUAACGGCUUACCAAGGCUACGAUGCGUAGACGAACUGAGAGGGGGGUCGGCCGCCCGGGAGCUGAGACACGGUCCAGACUACUACGGGAGGCAGCAGUAGGGAAUCUUCCGCAAUGGGCGAAAGCCUGACGGAGCAGCGCCGCGUGAGUGAUGGAGGUCUUCGGAUCGUAAAACUCUGUUAUUAGGGAAGAACAAAUGUGUAAGUAACUAUGCACGUCUUGACGGUACCGAGUCAGAAAGCCACGGCUAACUACGUG
rnacentral:rRNA from 1 species